GGAGUGGGAGAGCAGUGAGGGUUCUGGAGAUUGGGCCCUGUGUUUGAGGUGCAGUGCUGAGACUACCAGGCAGCAGAAGCUGUUCUCUGGAGGCCCUACAGCUGAUAAGAUUCUCCAGAUACCUCUCUUCUGACACUUUAUAUCUGAUUGGGGAAGUAUCUGAAGAUUGGUGAAAAGCUGCAGACACCCUGGUGCAAAAUCAAAGAAGCUUUGGAACAUCUCAAUCGAUGGAGCUGGAGUGCUCUCCAGAUAUUCUGGACAUAUUGCUGUCUUGCUGGAGUUUGCCCUGAAUAGCAGUGGAGCAGCCGGGCUGGUCCAUAACACCCUCCUUUGUAUCUCUAUUUUACAGGCCAGCCAGGGAAGUAACUGAAUAUGCUUCCUUGGAGAAAGAAUAGAAGGCUCAGAAGAUGUCCAAGUCUGAGAAUGGAACAUAGUCAAUGGAGAGAGAUGGAAUUACCCCAGAGGACAGAUGCCUUUGGUUUGGGAGAUGGGAGGCUGCACUUCAGAUCACCUCAAGAAAAAGCAGCUAUUUGAAUGCUUCCAGCAUGUGGCAGUAUCCUGUCUUUGAGCUGAGAUGAUCUUAUUAGUCUUCCUUGGGUUCUUCUCUCCAGGAUACAGGUAAGUUUUCAGAUUUUGUUCCCUCCAAAGUCUUCAGCCUCACCUUGUCAAGGGGUAACAAGGUUUCUGACAAAGAUCCACAGUAAGGUAGACAUAAAAUAAGCAUUUGCUUUUUCAAGAGAUUUUUUGAAUUCAUAGAACUGUGUUCCUCUACGGAAAUAACUCAUUUGAUAAUGUCUUUUUUUUUUUUUUUUUUCCUGUGCUGCUUUAUUUUAGGGAUAAAUCUAUUCCUCUGUAAGACUGGGAAGGUAUUAAAUUCUUGUGAAAGACAGGUUUGUUAAGCUUGAAAUAAUAGUAUCUCUCAAAAGAGGGGUGCUGGAAAAAUUAUCAAUUCCUCUGAUCAUCCCAGCUGAAUCUGGAGGUGGGCUCUGUAUUCCCGAAUUCAUGAGUAAAAGUCUAGCUGUGGUGUUCAUUUAGGAUAUAUUCAUUUAAAUGAGAUUUCUGUGCAAGGAAUUAAAGUUAUAUGUCUCUGCUGGUAGGAAAGCUGCCUGUAUGUGCUGUGAUAGGAGAUUGGCAGAGAAAAUUUGGAUGUUUUUUCCCAGCUGUUUUUUUUUUCUCUCUCCUUAUCUUUUCUCAUGUCUUCUGCGUGAGAAGCAGUUGAACAGACAGGAACUCUGAGCUCAAACAGAAACUGAUGAGGUUGUUCUCAUACCAUUAGUUUAUUAUUACCCCUCACAGUUACACUACUGAUAUUAUUGGGCUAUACUAAAAUUAAGAGAUGUGCUGAAGAGUACAGCCUGUUCAAUCAGAGAGCAGAGGGAUGCAGUUACAUCCCUCUACUAAGUCUCUACUUUUAUGUGGCAUUAUUGCUUUAU